rnacentral:rRNA from 1 species
AGUGAACGCUGGCGGCGUGCUUAACGCAUGCAAGUCGAACGAGAACGGAUUAUAGCUUGCUAUAAUUGUCAGCUAAGUGGCGCACGGGUGAGUAAUGUAUAGAUAACCUGCCCUCUAGAAAGGAAUAACAGUUGGAAACGACUGCUAAUGCCAUAUGCCUUUAAUACAUAAGUAUGCAAGGGAAACGCUUUAGUGCUAGAGGAUGGGUCUGUAUGGUAUCAGCUUGUUGGUGAGGUAAUGGCUCACCAAGGCUAUGACGCCUAACUGGUUUGAGAGGAUGAUCAGUCACACUGGAACUGAGACACGGUCCAGACUCCUACGGGAGGCAGCAGUGGGGAAUAUUGCACAAUGGACGAAAGUCUGAUGCAGCAACGCCGCGUGGAGGAUGACACAUUUCGGUGCGUAAACUCCUUUUAUAUAGGAAGAUAAUGACGGUACUAUAUGAAUAAGCACCGGCUAACUCCGUGCCAGCAGCCGCCGUAA